rnacentral:rRNA from 1 species
AGUGAACGCUGGCGGUAGGCCUAACACAUGCAAGUCGAACGGCAGCACAGUAAGAGCUUGCUCUUACGGGUGGCGAGUGGCGGACGGGUGAGGAAUACAUCGGAAUCUACUUUUUCGUGGGGGAUAACGUAGGGAAACUUACGCUAAUACCGCAUACGACCUACGGGUGAAAGCAGUGGAUCUUCGGACCUUGCGCGAUUGAAUGAGCCGAUGUCGGAUUAGCUAGUUGGCGGGGUAAAGGCCCACCAAGGCGACGAUCCGUAGCUGGUCUGAGAGGAUGAUCGGCCACACUGGAACGGAGACACGGUCCAGACUCCUACGGGAGGCAGCAGUGGGGAAUAUUGGGCAAUGGGCGCAAGCCUGAUCCAGCCAUACCGCGUGGGUGACGAAGGCCUUCGGGUUGUAAAGCCCUUUUGUUGGGAAAGAACAGCAGCAGGUUAAUACCCCGCUGUUCUGACGGUACCCAAAGAAUAAGCACCGGCUAACUUCGUG